GACGAACGCUGGCGGCGUGCUUAACACAUGCAAGUCGAACGGAAAGGCCCUGCUUUUGUGGGGUGCUCGAGUGGCGAACGGGUGAGUAACACGUGAGUAACCUGCCCUUGACUUUAGGAUAACUUCAGGAAACUGGGGCUAAUACCGGAUAGGAGCUCCUGCUGCAUGGUGGGGGUUGGAAAGUUUCGGCGGUUGGGGAUGGACUCGCGGCUUAUCAGCUUGUUGGUGGGGUAGUGGCUUACCAAGGCUUUGACGGGUAGCCGGCCUGAGAGGGUGACCGGCCACAUUGGGACUGAGAUACGGCCCAGAAUCCUACGGGAGGCAGCAGUGGGGAAUAUUGCACAAUGGGCGGAAGCCUGAUGCAGCAACGCCGCGUGCGGGAUGACGGCCUUCGGGUUGUAAACCGCUUUCGCCUGUGACGAAGCGUGAGUGACGGUAAUGGGUAAAGAAGCACCGGCUAACUACGUG
rnacentral:rRNA from 1 species